rnacentral:rRNA from 1 species
UACGGAGGGUGCAAGCGUUAUCCGGAUUCACUGGGUUUAAAGGGUGCGUAGGAGGGCAGGUAAGUCAGUGGUGAAAUCUCCGAGCUUAACUCGGAACUGCCGUUGAUACUAUCUGUCUUGAAUACCGUGGAGGUGAGCGGAAUAUGUCAUGUAGCGGUGAAAUGCUUAGAUAUGACAUAGAACACCAAUUGCGAAGGCAGCUCGCUACACGAGCAUUGACUCUGAGGCACGAAAGCGUGGGGAUCAAACAGG